GGGCCGCUGGUCUAGUGGUAUGAUUCUCGCUUAGGGUCCUUGCGAGAGGUCCCGGGUUCGAUCCCCGGGUGGCCCC
rnacentral:tRNA from 1 species